rfam:Flavobacterium sp. LM5 Flavobacterium_sp_LM5_contig3, whole genome shotgun sequence.
CUUUAGCCCCGACAGUAGUGGAAAUCCUUUGGUGCCGGGGUUCGGUACCAAAGAUUAGAGCGGAUGGCGGGAACCUAU